rnacentral:rRNA from 1 species
UACGUAGGAUGCAAGCGUUGUCCGGAGUUACUGGGCGUAAAGGGCGCGCAGGCGGCGGUGCUGGCCCGGCGUGAAAGCCCCCGGCUCAACCGGGGAGGGUCGUCGGGGACCGCACCGCUUGAGGGCGGUAGGGGCCGGUGGAAUGCCUGGUGUAGUGGUGAAAUGCGUAGAGAUCAGGCAGAACACCUGGGGCGAAGGCGGCCGGCUGGGCCGACCCUGACGCUGAGGCGCGAAGGCGUGGGGAGCGAACGGG